GACGAACGCUGGCGGCGUGCUUAACACAUGCAAGUCGAGCGUUGAAGUUCCUUCGGGAAUGGAUUAGCGGCGGACGGGUGAGUAACACGUGGGUAACCUGCCUCAUAGAGGGGAAUAGCCUUUCGAAAGGAAGAUUAAUACCGCAUAAGAUUGUAGUAUCGCAUGAUACAGCAAUUAAAGGAGUAAUCCGCUAUGAGAUGGACCCGCGUCGCAUUAGCUAGUUGGUGAGGUAACGGCUCACCAAGGCGACGAUGUGUAGCCGACCUGAGAGGGUGAUCGGCCACAUUGGGACUGAGACACGGCCCAGACUCCUACGGGAGGCAGCAGUGGGGAAUAUUGCACAAUGGGGGAAACCCUGAUGCAGCAACGCCGCGUGAGUGAUGACGGUCUUCGGAUUGUAAAGCUCUGUCUUCAGGGACGGUAAUGACGGUACCUGAGGAGGAAGCCACGGCUAACUACGUGCCAGCAGCCGCGGUAA
rnacentral:rRNA from 1 species